rnacentral:lncRNA from 1 species
GAUAGGCCGCGGUCCCGAUUAGUCUGAGUUAACGGGGUUCCACUGUACUAUCAUUGUCACCAAAAUGAUUAUAUCCAAUCUAUUAAUAUCCUACAAAUAUUAUUGCAUAUUGCCAUGAGCAAGACCAAAAAUAGAAUACAUACUAAGGAAUGUAUGCUGGCGAAUGCACUUAUAUGCACGCCAAAAUUGAAAAAAGAAGAAGGAAACACAUAUUUGAAAAUAAAAACAAAUUUUAAUGUGUCAGAAUGUCAUCGGAAAGUCAUGGAAAGUAUAAAAUAAAAAUUAUAAAAGAAAACGUUAAGUAAAAUUACAAUAUUGACAAUUUACUUGGAAGUAUUUGCUGUAAAGAAAUAAGCACAAGUUUGUUGCAGACCAAAGCCUGAAAAUUGUAUAGGUAAUGCUUUAAAAGGAAAAAUGGAGAAACGAAAACUGAUGAUAGUCAUAAAAUAUUUUAUUUUUGGUUUAAAACUAUUAUUUCUUCGAGUUUGUGAUAUGUUACUGGUUUAUUAAAAUAAGGUUUUAAUUUCUA